GCGCGCGCUCAUCGUGAUGAUUUUUUCCAAUGUUUUGAUAAGCAAAAUAUUAUAAAAACGUCUUUAAUCUAUAGCUCUAUAACGAAGUCGGGCACCCCCUUUAUUUCGUUUUUGAUGGUACUCGGUAGUACCUAACUUAAGAGAAAAAUGUUUUAAUCUGAUGGGAUCAAAUCGAAAUUAGAGUAGAAUUUCACGCAACGCGAAGGCUUCAAGUCCACACUUAUAACACAAUAACAUUUUAUAUUUCUUAUUUUCAGUGGCGGAUCCAGGGGGGUUCGAAGGGUUCCACGGAACCCCCCUUGAAGGUUUGAUCUUUUAGGGGCACAUAUAUGCUGUUCCAAGUUAAAGUAUAUGUUCGUUUGUUAACGGUGAACUACUAUCAGCAAUUAAAAGAUCGAUCGUAUAUGUUAAAGAUUAUUCUCCUCUGGAAGCUCAUGCUACACUUUCGUCAGAAGACAAAAAACGAUUAUAAUUCAAUUUUUUUUUUUUUCUUUUUUGUCGUUUUGAUUAGCCUGAAAUUGGUAACUGCAAAUAACUGCUUACAAUAUUCUUCUCUUGUGCAUCAUAAGCCGUUUUGCUACAAAUAACAGUCUGCUCAUGCGCAGUAACGUCGCAUUUGUCAACAUAGCUCGCUUACCUCAGCUGUCAGAAAAUGGCUCGUUUGAUAGGCAGCAAAAACAGGCAAACACACAAAAAAAAGGAAAAAUAAUAUGAAUGAUAAAACAAAUAAUAACUUCGGUUAUCACAAAAUAUCGUGAUUCGUUAGUGUCUCGCAAGCAAUUAUUGUGCUCAACAUUGAUUAAUAAUUCUAUCAAGGAAAAUACGUUUAUUCGGCAUUUGAUUGCCAUUGCACUAUAGUUCAGUAUAGGCUGAUAACAAUAAGUCGCCAAGAUGAUACCGAUUACACUCGUUUUCUAGAACAUGCCCAGUAUCGUACAGUUACCGUCAUUAAAAAAAUAGAUUGUGAUGACGCCAAUCGAAAAUUUCUGUGCAUUCUUAAUUAUAACCGCACUUAGAAUGAAGUCAUUAAACCCGUGAAAUAGAUAUUAGACUAAUACACUUUAGUAGACCCUAAUUCCAUUGUUUUCUUUUGUGUCUAUUUGACUAUUACACGUUGACUAAUAAUUUUUAUUUCACGGGUUAAAUGCCUUCACUCUGUCAUGCAGAAUAUACAAGAUCAAGCGCACAUGCCCCACUAAAUGUCAUAGAAACGCUUCACUUUUGACGCCCAUCAAAACUGACUUUAUGAUGCCGACAAAACUCUACAAUUCGGGAUUUGUUAUCAAAAACGAGCGUAAAAAUGCAACAGACACUACACUCAUUAUUCCAAUAUCUAUAACACCUAUUGACCAUGUCAGUCAGUUACGUCAAUCUUCAAUACACUCCACAUAUAGCUAUACUAUAAUCCAUCCAACCGUAAACCGAUCAAUCAAAUGAAUACCGCUCAUUUUUACAGUUCCGUUCAGCAGCCACGAAUAAUACUGAGUUCCAAGUCGAGGUUGGAGUUGCCGCGCAUAGCAAAACUAUACUUUAUGGUGCGCGGCAACAAAAACCUCGACUUUUAUUCGUGGUUACUGAACGGAACUGCAAAAAGGAAUAUUAGGAAACCAUAGUUUAAAUAUAGUAUGAAAAUUUAUAAAUGGUAAAUGGACAUGACUUUACAAGAAUACUAAAGCUAUUGAUCUGGAUGAAGGAAUCACUUUAGCCUUACCCCUUUUUGUUUCUACGCCCCUACAACGUCUAAACGAUCUCAAAUCGAUUAGAUAGAACCCGCUCCGUAGUGGCAUGGGUGUAAACUAUAUGAUAUGUAGACCAGUUAUAAUAUAAGAAGCUGCAGCAAUCCUUACAAUGGCCUCGUGAUCAUUUCUUGUCAAGGAAUUGUCGAGCGGUUUCUACUAACCGGGACAUGUAUUUAGGUCCAGUGGCAAUGGAUAUCAGCGCAUCUUGAAUCUCUUGUGCGCUACAAGAAAUGGUAAGCCAUGUUUAGAACUGGUUAUUUUACCCCAGAGACUAGAGUGGUGCAUAAACCGUAGACUGAGAAAGUGGGAAAAUAUUUUUUUAAGGAAUCUGAUGGAAGGCUGCCAAAUUUGCAAAAUUCAUUUCAGGUUGCAUAAAAGUCCCCUUCACGGUUACUCCGCCAUCUUGAAUAAAUCAAAACGAGACGAACGGGAACUUGUAUUGGAAUUGGAGCUGUGUAAGAGUUCUUCAUCCAAACUAUUGAUAACCAAAGAAUGUACGAAGCGAGCAGACAAAUGGCUGUCAUCUAACAAGAAAAACAGUGUUGUUUCAGUAUAGUGCGGCUUACAC